rnacentral:rRNA from 1 species
GGUAUUCAACGCCGGAAAUCUCACCGGGGCGACAGCAAUAUGAAGGUCAGGCUGAAGACCUUACCCGAUUAGCUGAGAGGUGGUGCAUGGCCGUCGUCAGUUCGUACUGUGAAGCAUCCUGUUAAGUCAGGCAACGAGCGAGACCCACGUCCACAGUUGCCAGCAUACCCUCCGGGGUGAUGGGUACACUGUGGAGACCGCCGCUGCUAAAGCGGAGGAAGGAGUGGGCAACGGUAGGUCAGUAUGCCCCGAAUCUCCCGGGCUACACGCGGGCUACAAUGGUUGGUACAAUGGGCAUCUACCCCGAAAGGGGAAGGAAAUCUCUUAAAGCCAAUCGUAGUUCGGAUUGAGGGCUGCAACUCGCCCUCAUGAAGCUGGAAUCCGUAGUAAUCGCGUUUCAACAGAACGCGGUGAAUACGUCCCUGCUCCUU